rnacentral:rRNA from 1 species
UACGUAGGGUGCAAGCGUUGUCCGGAAUUAUUGGGCGUAAAGAGCUCGUAGGCGGUCUGUCGCGUCGGCUGUGAAAACCCGGAGCUCAACUCCGGGCCUGCAGUCGAUACGGGCAGACUGGAGUUCGGCAGGGGAGACUGGAAUUCCUGGUGUAGCGGUGAAAUGCGCAGAUAUCAGGAGGAACACCGGUGGCGAAGGCGGUUCUCUGGGCAUGUCCUGACGCUGAGGAGCGAAAGUGUGGGGAGCGAACAGG